AGGAAAAAAAAAACUUCCGACGAGCCGCACCUCCAGCACUCUUACCUCCUCCCCUCCCGCCACCGUACGGGCGCCGCCGACCGCCGUUGCUUCGCAGGAUCUCUUCUUCCCAAGCGUGCUACAUGAAACUAUCCCUCCGGCGCAGAGUCGUCCUUGGGGAGCCGCCGUGGGGAACGCCACGGCGCGUUCUUGGCGGACCGCAGCAGCGUGGCGCGCUCAACCUGUUCUGCGAAAUGCCGACCCGGACAUCGUCUAUAGGGCGGCGACCGUGGCCGUCGGGGGUAGCUCGGAAAGAAAAGCAGGGCAUAAGAGAAAGAAACAGUAGGUGAAGAAGAUUUUGCGAAGAUUCUACCGGGCGAGACAAUGCGCCGGGAAGAUCGUACCGAAAGGCGCCUGCGAUUGAGAGCAAUCAUCAUGGUGUGUAGACAAAGGCCAAGUGGAGGGCAGGAAGAAAGUGCAGUUUCCUGGCUUCCUGGCUUAAUGGACGGGGUGGGUGGUCGAUCCGUGCGGUCUCCUCCAUCCCCUUCUUGACCCGGGGGCGUUUACUUGCCCUUGUCACGCGUGCGUGCGUGCGAGCUUCGUCUGAUGUUUACGUUUGCUCUUCUUUUGCCAUUCUCCUGGCUCCACUGGCGCACUAUAAUUGCGGACCGUGGACGGUGACGCUUUGUGGCUGUCAUCUGAAGUUUGAACCGUAACUUGGGGUGCUGGCAAUGGUGAUGCUAAGUACAGUUUUCUA